rnacentral:rRNA from 1 species
GAUGAACGCUGGCGGCGUGCCUAAUACAUGCAAGUAGAACGCUGAAGGAAGGAGCUUGCUCUUUCCGGAUGAGUUGCGAACGGGUGAGUAACGCGUAGGUGACCUGCCUGGUAGCGGGGGACAACUAUUGGAAACGAUAGCUAAUACCGCAUAACAGUAGAUGUUGCAUGAUAUCUACUUAAAAGGUGCAAUUGCACCACUACCAGAUGGACCUGCGUUGUAUUAGCUAGUUGGUGAGGUAACGGCUCACCAAGGCGACGAUACAUAGCCGACCUGAGAGGGUGAUCGGCCACACUGGGACUGAGACACGGCCCAGACUCCUACGGGAGGCAGCAGUAGGGAAUCUUCGGCAAUGGACGGAAGUCUGACCGAGCAACGCCGCGUGAGUGAAGAAGGUUUUCGGAUCGUAAAGCUCUGUUGUAAGAGAAGAACGAGUGUGAGAGUGGAAAGUUCACACUGUGACGGUAUCUUACCAGAAAGGGACGGCUAACUACGUG